rnacentral:misc_RNA from 1 species
CCGAGUUUACAACUCCCAAACCCACUUGAGAACCUUACCACCGUUGCUUCGGCGGUGUCGCCCCGGUGCCUAUGCCGCCCGGAACCGUGCGCCCGCCGGAGGCCCUGAACUCUUGUUUUCACCUAUGCGUCUUCUGAGUGGUUUACAAAAUAAAUCA